AUUGAACGCUGGCGGCAGGCCUAACCCAUGCAAGUCGAACGAGUGGCGGACGGGUGAGUAAUGUCUGGGAAACUGCCUGAUGGAGGGGGAUAACUCCUGGAAACGGUAGCUAAUACCGCAUACCAUCAGAUGUGCCCAGAUGGGAUUAGCUAGUUGGUGGGGUAACGGCUCACCAAGGCGACGAUCCCUAGCUGGUCUGAGAGGAUGACCAGCGACCCGGGAACUUGGACACGGUCCAGACUCCUACGGGAGGCAGCAGGGGGGAAUAUUGCAGAAUGGGCGCAAGCCGGAUGCAGCCAUGACGGGGGUAUGAAGAAGGCCUUAGGGUUGUAAAGUACUUACAGCGGGGAGGCGUUACCCGCAGAAGAAGCACCGGCUAACUCCGUGCCAGCAGCCGAGGUAAUUC
rnacentral:rRNA from 1 species